rnacentral:lncRNA from 1 species
AAUUUUUCUAGCGGUAAGGGAACAACCAAUUGACUUCAAAAGGGGGGCGGAGGAUGGGAAUGGAAAUAUUCCGAUCUCCAAUUUGAUAAAAAAAAAAUGGUCAUACAGAUGAUAAAAAAAAAAUGUUCUGAAUCAAGAGUGUCCCCAUACAUUAUAGUGUUAAAUAUUGAAAAAAAAGUAUUUGAUAACCAGCAUCGAAAAAAAAGGAAUAAAAACGUACGCGCGAUAAAAAAUCUGACUCAGAUAAAAAAAAUAACUCUCCCCCUUUUUUUAAGUUAAGUGGUUGCUACUUUAAGAAAGCCAUUUUUAUAAUUUGCAGUAGUUUGAAUAUACAAGAGAAGUCUCGAUAACGCAUUAGAAAACGUUAGCUGCAACAGCGUGCUUACAGCCGAAAAAAAAAGGAUUGAGAUAUUAGGGAUCACUACAUUUUUAUCUUUUCUGUUCGUUUAAAAUGGUAUUUCUUCUCCAAGGAGUAUUUGGUAAAGGAAUAGGGUAGCGGUUUUUUUAUAUUCAUUUUACGUGUUAUUUAAUGGAUCUGAGAUACUAGACAAACAUAUCAUUUACCUCACACUUGUUUUAGUCAUGCAUUUAUUCGUGAAUCGUUUUUUGAGUAAUGACCAGUGGCGAAUAUUUCUGUGUACGUCAAGUCAAUUCGGGAAGACCUUUUCAAAUGAAUUAGGCAACAAUUAUUUACUUCAUUUUUUGUGGAGGGGGAGGGGGGCGUGAGCUAUUGAUUUUUUUCAGGACAAAUUUUGGUGACAAGUCGAAAUCAAUUUUAGCAUUAUAUAUAGUGGCAGAUGAGGGUGAAA